AUUGAACGCUGGCGGCAGGCCUAACACAUGCAAGUCGAGCGAGCGGCGGACGGGUGAGAAAUGUCUGGGAAACUCCCUGAUGGAGGGGGAUAACUACUGGAAACGGUAGCUAAUACCGCAUACCAUCAGAUGUGCCCAGAUGGGAUGAGCGAGUAGGUGGGGUAACGGCUCACCUAGGCGACGAUCCCUAGCUGGUCUGAGAGGAUGACCAGCCACACGGGAACUGAGACACGGUCCGGACGCCUACGGAAGGCAGCAGUGGGGAAUAUUGCACGAUGGGCGCAAGCCUGAUGCAGCCAUGCCGCGUGUUGGAAGAAGGCCGUCGGGUUGUAAAGCACUUUCAGCGGGGAGGCGUUACCCGCAGAAGAAGCACCGGCUAACUCCGUGCCAGCAGCCGCGGUAAUUC
rnacentral:rRNA from 1 species